UACGAAGGGACCUAGCGUAGUUCGGAAUUACUGGGCUUAAAGAGCUCGUAGGUGGUUAAAAAAGUUGGUGGUGAAAUCCCAAGGCUUAACCUUGGAACUGCUAUCAAAACUUUUUAGCUAGAGUAUGAUAGAGGAAAGUGGAAUUUCUAGUGUAGAGGUGAAAUUCGUAGAUAUUAGAAAGAACACCAACUGCGAAGGCAACUUUCUGGAUCAUUACUGACACUGAGGAGCGAAAGCAUGGGUAGCGAAGAGG
rnacentral:rRNA from 1 species